GUGCCGUAGCGCCGCUGGAAGGCCGCGCUGUGUGGCCGCGCCAGCUUGUUGCGGUAGGCCGAGGCCAGGCGCUCGAAGGGCUCGCGCACGAAGAGAAAGGCCAGAGGCAAGGCAUACGGCCUCAAAGGAUUUGACUCCAACAUCCCUGGAUCCUGGGACUGUGAGGACCCAUCGGUCCCUCUGAAGAAGGCUGCAGAGCUAAUGGAAUCUGGGACCCUCUGAGAGUCUGUCCUGCACCUGCUCAAUGUGCAACCAGGAGUGAGCCAGACAUACUCUUUGAACCAAGACUUCCUUAUCUGCAACCCAAGGGUGUGGCUAGGUUCAGCAGACAUCCCUUAUGCAGCUCACCAUUCCCCACACAGCAGUCCAGGGGAAACUUCUGGCCCUGCUGCCCCUGCUUAAAAUCCUCCAUGGCUCCCCAUUGCCCUUGCCUGUUUUGGCCCAAUGGAAUACUGCCUGCCUCCCAAGCUCACCACAGACAACCUCUCUGCCCUCCUCUCUCUAAGGCUGUUGGCCUAGCUGUUCCCUCAGCUUGUGGUGCUCACAUUUUCCUCUUCAGGUUGCACUACAAGCCCCUCUUUUGGGGAGUAGCUUCUCCCCAUCUCUACCAGAAUCCCCUUGGGUAGUUCCCUGUAAUCCCCACUGUUCCCUCAGAGCACAACUUGGUUUCAUGGACAUGUAAAUGCUGUUCAGACUGUGUCCUACCCAGCUGUGCUGUCUGCACUGUGAGGGCAGGACCCCAGUCCAGCUGUUUGCCACUAAAUCUCAGCACAAGAGAAUGUGCUGUGGAAUAUUAUUUUAACUGGAAAAAGAUGUGUUACAUUUGUUUAUGCUGCAUUUGUUUAACAAUGUAAGGAUGUGUGUUUAAUUAUGAAAAGAUGUGUUUCAUUUUUUUUCACCUUGUCUGCCUAAGGUGCCUGAUUGAUCUAAUAAAAAGCUGAACAGCAAAUACCUAGGCAGGAGAGGGAUAGGCGGGGCUGGCGGGCAGAGAGAAUAAAUAGGAGAGAGGAGACAGAAAAGGAACGAGAGAGAGAAAAGGAGAAGAGAGGACACGCCCUGGGCAAGAAGCCAAUCAGUCGCCAUCCAGCUAGACACAAGAAGCAGUGGAAGUAAGACAUACAGAAGGAAAGAAAAGUCAAAAGCCCUGAUGCAAAAGCUAGAUAAAGAGAAACGGGUCAAUUUAAGUUAUAAGAACUAGCCAGAAAUGAGCCUAAGCUAGGCUGAGCAUUCAAAGCUAGUAAGUCUCUGUGUCAUGAUUAGGGAGCUGGUUGGUGGCCCAAAAAGAAAAAGCCUGGUACAAGAAUGGCCUGUACAUUAUACAAUACAGUCGGUGCUAAUA